rnacentral:rRNA from 1 species
UACGUAGGCAGCGAGCGUUGUUCGGAAUUACUGGGCGUAAAGAGUGUGUAGGCGGUGUUCCCAGUCUGUUGUGAAAUCUCCCGGCUUAACUGGGAGGGUGCAGCGGAAACUAGAAUGCUAGAGGGUGGGAGAGGUAAGCGGAAUUCCUGGUGUAGCGGUGAAAUGCGUAGAUAUCAGGAGGAACACCGGUGGUGUAGACGGCUCUCUGGACCGUAACUGACGCUGAGGCACGAAAGCGUGGGUAGCAAACAGG